UCUACAUAUUAUAUCAACGUGGUAUAAAAGUGUAUCAAUCUAGGAUAAAAGUGUAUCAGUGCGGUAUCAAAGUGUAUCAAUAUAGUAUAAAACUGUAUCAAUAUGGUAUAAAAGUGUAUCAAUUGGGUAUAGAGACUGCAUGCAACCGACGAGUCAAAUGGCCAAAAAUCGGAAUUAAAUUGGGCCGACUGGCUCCAAUUGUUCAACUUUUAAAAUUGCUAGCCAUUUCUUUUCAAAAUGGUUAACCCAUGUCCUUUUUCCAUUAUUAAAACUAAAAAUUACACAAAUACACAACUUAUGUUUUCAAUAUUACAAAAAAUCCCAACUCCCUAAACAUAUUACAAAAAUUCCAACAUAUAUAUAGAAUGUUAUGUAUAUGUUGGUUAUGUUAUGUAUAUUAAUAGAGAGAGAGAGUAAAGUAAUUAAAAAAGUGGGAGAGAGUGUAAUUACUUCCAAAAGGGUUGGUAUUUAUGUUAUUUAUAUUUAUACUUAUUAAAAUCAUAGCUCAGCUCUAUCAAAUUACAGGCUAGAUCCAGCCGAACCAACGGGCCUGGUCAUAUCGAGGGCCCUAGAUUCAACAUUUGCUCAAGGAUUUGAUGGUGGUACUCUUUUCAUGUAAUCAAUCAGAUGCAUGUACGACCCUUUUUAUUUAUGAUCCUCGGUGUUCCAUAUCCUCUCUCAAUAUGAUCCUCUUUGCCUGAAUUAAUUUAUAGUAGUAGUUUUUAUCUAUAAUUUCACUAUAUAUCUAUAUAUAUACACACACAUUGUGUAUGAUCUGUAGUUAUUUUGAGCUUAAAAUUGUGUGCACGCAUAAUACAUUUUUAUUCUUGAAUUAUGUUAUGUAUGUAUUAGUUGAGUAGUGUGAUUUAUUUGUAAGGAAUCACACACAUUAGAUGCUAGAAUUUAAUCUAAAAAUUAAAGUUUAAAAAUAGAGAACUUAGAGAAAUUAUCAUAUGAUAUUAUUCUUUAUGUGAUAAUAUUCCGUAGCAGGUGUGUACGUGUUUAUCCGUAAAAACGAAUAUGCUGGUUGAGAUUUUCAAAUGCUUCUGUAAAUUUGGAAAAUAGAUGUUCCCUUCUGAAAUUUAAAAGAUUAACCGCAGUGCUAAAAAUAUUAACAUAUGAGCUAUUCUCUCUAGUUUAUAUUAACUUAAUUUGUGAGUCCUUUUUCAUUGUUCAUAAUAAUUUAAUUGUUCAAUCUUUAAGAGUGUUACUGAAAAUUUAUUUCAUGAAUUUAGGGUCUAUCAUGAAAUUCACUUGAAUAAAGCAUGGGGAAACUUAAAUUCAUGGCAUAAGGAAUUCAACAUCUUGCAUGGAAUCACAGGACUGAAUUGAAUUAAAAACACUAUGAAAUCAUGAAACUAAAUAUUUCUUGAACAUACAAAACUCCAUAAUAAGAAUAAAAUUUUAUUCUUUAAUUGAAAAAAGGGUUUUGGGACUCCAUGGGUGAAAGGAGCCCAUGAAUGAUCUCCCACAUACCUUAAAAGUUGGAUUUGAUGUAGAAGCUUGAAUUUUGAAUUUCUAAUGAUGUUUUUGAAGCUUCUUCUUGAAGUUCUUGAAUUAGGAAGCUUGGGUGUUCUUGCUUUUCUCAAAGAAAAUUUAAUGAAGUUCUUGGUGUUCUUGAGGGGGCUAGAGUUUUCUUGGAGAGAAAAAGAUGAAUAAUAAUGUAUCUAAUCCAUUUGGGACUGGAAUAAAUGUUAUGGACGGGUUUGGGUGAAGGACUAGACCCUUUUGGAACUGAAAUAGCGUGUGAAACAGCUCGAUAUUGUGUUGGCCAUCGUGUCGCAAUCGCGUCGGUUUACUAGCAUUAAUAAGUAUAUGAUAAUUCCUCUUUAAUAAGCUAAUUAUCCCCUUUUUAAACUUCAAUUUUUAGAUUAAUAUUAUAUUACCUUAUUAGUCUAGUAAUUAUUUUACUAGCAUUACCUUCUGCAAUGUACUUCAGUAAUGUAUGUGAUUACUUAAUUCAGCUGACAAAGCAAGUUAUUGAUCUAUUGAAACAUACAUCUUUAUUUUGUUUGUUUGUCAAUUAUUUUCACAUUUCUGAUUAAUCAAGUCAGAAGCAUGUAGUUAAUGCUUUGAGGUUAGGUAAGUUACAGAUCAAUCAUCCAAAUUACAACAUCCAAAACUAAUACGUACCAAGCACAAUUCCAGAACAAAAAUAUAUUAUGUGUUAGCAUAAUUAUUCUAAUAACUAAAUGAUGGCAUGCAGAUCAUACACACAAAGAGUAUGUCUGUAGUAUAUAUACAUGCCAGUCGCAUGGGUAGUGAAAUGAUAGAUAAAAAUUACUAUUACUAUAAAUUAAUUCAGACAGAGGGGAUCAUAUUGAGAAUAGCGACCUAGGCGUUUUACAUAUUCAAAUAGUUUUGAAAAAUUGUCAACUAGCUAGUUAAUUAGCAUGGAGAGUCAUCAUCUAUGUAUUAUAAUAUUAGUUAUAAUAGCUAUGAUUUGUAGCAAUGUUUCAAGCCAACACUAUCAAUUGAUGCAAUACGUUUUACAAUGGCCUCCAACUUAUUGCCAAAUGAAACAGUGCAAACAUGGUGCCCCAUUAAAAUUUACUAUCCAUGUUCUCUGGCCAGCUUCUACCUCAGGAAAAGCAUACAAUGCAAAUGCAGCAAUCCUAGAGUCGAAGACUUGAAAAUAGACGUUGUUGUAAGUGUUUAUCUUUUUUAGUAAUGAAGAGAAGAACAAAAUAACACACAAAAAAAUGUGCAUUGUGAGUAAAAAAGAUACACUUACAACAACGUCUACUUUCAGGCCUUCGGCUCUCAAAGGCGGAGUAAGAAUUUCAACGAAGGUGGUUUCAUAUUCAAGGAAAACUUAGGAUUUCAACUAAGGGGGUUCCAUAUUUAAAGAAAACUUAGUCGAAGGGGGUUCAACACCAACUAUAACCACAUAAAAAAUAAUUUUAGUCAUGUAUAAAUAGUAUAUUUUUUCGUCGAAGGGGAUUCGGCCGAACCCCCAAACAGAAGGCUGGCUCCGCCCCUGUCGGCUCUAGGAUUACUGCAUUUGCAUUGUAUGAUCUUCCCCGAGCUAGAAAAUGGCUAGAGGCCAUGGAUAGUAAACUAUAAUGGUGCACCAGGUUUGCACUGUUUCAUUUGGCAAUAUGUUGGAGGCCAUUCUAAAACGUAUUGCAUCAGUUGAUAGCAUUGACUUGAAACUUUGCUACAAAUCAUAGUUAUAACUAGGAUUAUAAUAAAUAGAUGACAACUCUCCAUGCCAAUUAACUAACUAGUUGACAAUUUUGUAAAGCUAUUUGAAUAUGUAAAAAGCCGAGGUCACUAUUCUCUCAAUAUAUACGAUCCCCUCUGCCUGAAUUAAUUUAUAGUAAUAG
rnacentral:lncRNA from 1 species